rnacentral:rRNA from 1 species
GAUGAGGAGAAGCUGACGGAGCAACGCCGCGUGAGUGAUGAAGGCUUUCGGGUCGUAAAACUCUGUUGUUAGGGAAGAACAAGUGCUAGUUGAAUAAGCUGGCACCUUGACGGUACCUAACCAGAAAGCCACGGCUAACUACGUGCCAGCAGCCGCGGUAAUACGA